rnacentral:rRNA from 1 species
AGUGAACGCUGGCGGUAGGCCUAACACAUGCCAGUCGAACGGCAGCACAGUAAUAGCUUGCUCUUACGGGUGGCGAGUGGCGGACGGGUGAGGAAUACAUCGGAAUCUACUUUUUCGUGGGGGAUAACGUAGGGAAACUUACGCUAAUACCGCAUACGACCUACGGGUGAAAGCAUGGGAUCUUCGGACCUUGCGCGAUUGAAUGAGCCGAGGUCGGAUUAGCUAGUUGGCGGGGUAAAGGCCCACCAAGGCGACGAUCCGUAGCUGGUCUGAGAGGAUGAUCAGCCACACUGGAACUGAGACACGGUCCAGACUCCUACGGGAGGCAGCAGUGGGGAAUAUUGGACAAUGGGCGCAAGCCUGAUCCAGCCAUACCGCGUGGGUGAAGAAGGCCUUCGGGUUGUAAAGCCCUUUUGUUGGGAAAGAAAAGCAGCAGGUUAAUACCCCGCUGUUCUGACGGUACCCAAAGAAUAAGCACCGGCUAACUUCGUG